CCUACGGGUGGCUGCAGUGGGGAAUAUUGGACAAUGGGCGAAAGCCUGAUCCAGCCAUGCCGCGUGUGUGAAGAAGGCCUUCGGGUUGUAAAGCACUUUCAGUGGGGAAGAAAGCCUUGGGGCUAAUACCCUCGAGGAAGGACAUCACCCACAGAAGAAGCACCGACUAACUCCGUGCCAGCAGCCGCGGUAAUACGGAGGGUGCGAGCGUUAAUCGGAAUUACUGGGCGUAAAGCGCGCGUAGGCGGUCUGAUAAGCCGGUUGUGAAAGCCCCGGGCUCAACCUGGGAACGGCAUCCGGAACUGUCAGGCUAGAGUGCAGGAGAGGAAGGUAGAAUUCCCGGUGUAGCGGUGAAAUGCGUAGAGAUCGGGAGGAAUACCAGUGGCGAAGGCGGCCUUCUGGACUGACACUGACGCUGAGGUGCGAAAGCGUGGGUAGCAAACAGGAUUAGAUACCCGGGUAGUC
rnacentral:rRNA from 1 species